UGAGUCGGCCAGGCAGUCGCUCCCUGCAUCCGGAAACGGUUGCAGGCGGGAGGAAAGUCCGGGCUCCACAGGACAAGACGCCAGGUAACGCCUGGGGGGCGUGAGCCCACGGAAAGUGCAACAGAGAGUAGACCGCCUAAGCUGCGCGCCAGCGCGUGGCCGGUAAGGGUGAAACGGUGCGGUAAGAGCGCACCGCGCCGACGGUAACGUCGAGUGGCUGGGUAAACCCCGUCUGGAGCAAGACCAAAUAGGGGCCCUAUGGCGUGGUCCGCGCCGGGUCCGGGUAGGUCGCUAGAGGGUAUCGGUGACGGUACUUCGAGAUGAAUGACUGCCCGACGGCCUUGUGUCGUCUGACAGAACCCGGCUUAUCGGCCGGCUCAUCCU
rnacentral:RNase_P_RNA from 1 species